CAGCAGCCGCGGUAAUACGGGGGGGACAAGCGUUGUUCGGAUUCACUGGGCGUAAAGGGCGCGUAGGCGGACCUUCAAGUCGGAUGUGAAAUCUUGCAGCUCAACUGCAAGCCUGCAUUCGAAACUGGCGGUCUUGAGUACAGUAGAGGAAAGCGGAAUUCCAGGUGUAGCGGUGAAAUGCGUAGAUAUCUGAAAGAAGACCAGUAGCGAAGGCGGCUUUCUGGGCUGAAACUGACGCUGAAGCGCGAAGGCUUGGGUAGCAAACAGGAUUAGAUACCCUGGUAGUCCAAGCGGUAAACGAUGGGUACUAGGUGUCGGGGGUAUCGACCCCCUCGGUGCCGCAGCUAACGCAUUAAGUACCCCGCCUGGGGAGUACGGUCGCAAGAUUGAAACUCAAAGGAAUUGACGGGGGCCCGCACAAGCGGUGGAGUAUGUGGUUUAAUUCGAGGCAACGCGAAGAACCUUACCUGGGUUUGACAUGCAUAGGACAGCUGGUGAAAGCUAGUUUUUCUUCGGGACCUAUGCACAGGUGCUGCAUGGCUGUCGUCAGCUCGUGCCGUGAGGUGUUGGGUUAAGUCCCGCAACGAGCGCAACCCUUGUCCAUAGUUGCCAUCAGGUAAUGCUGGGGACUCUAUGGAGACUGCCGGUGAUAAGCUGGAGGAAGGUGGGGAUGACGUCAAGUCCUCAUGGCCCUUAUGCCCAGGGCUACACACGUACUACAAUGGUCGGUACAGAAGGUUGCAAUACCGUGAGGUGGAGCCAAUUCUCAAAANCCGGCCUCAGUUCAGAUUGGAGUCUGCAACUCGACUCCAUGAAGUUGGAAUCGCUAGUAAUCGCUGAUCAGCAGGCAGCGGUGAAUACGUUCCCGGGCCUUGUACACACCGCCCGUCAAGCCAUGGAAGUUGGGAGCACCCGAAGUCGUUUGCUUAACCGUAAGGAAAGCGGCGCCUAAGGUGAUACCGAUGACUAGGGCUAAGUCGUAACAAGGUAACCGUA
rnacentral:rRNA from 1 species